rnacentral:lncRNA from 1 species
AUGCUUUGCCCGUCCUACCACUGCAGGAAUAUAAAGCACCACGUGCCCCCUGGGUACCAGUGCUCUCGGGAUGGCUCCGUGGGAAAGGCAGCAUGGCCAGAUGCCUCCCAGCACCCCGCCUGCAGCACGCGGAUGGAUCUGGCCCACCCUGCAGCCACAGAGGCUCGUGAGAGAUUGCAGGGCUGCUGGCUGAUGUGGGACAGCUGCCCAGGAGGCCAGGCGCACCAUCUCAGAGCAGUGGCAUGCACUGUCUGGCUUGCCCGCUCCCGCAGCUCUGGGAGACAAAUGGUCUUGAUACAGCAGCUAUCUUACGGCAUGCUGCAAUGAUAAAUCUUGAUGCUGAGAUCCUGUUGUGAGCCAUGUCCAAAUAAUAUACCUUAAACUGGGCAAGGGACAGGUGGG